UACGGAGGGAGCUAGCGUUGUUCGGAAUUACUGGGCGUAAAGCGCACGUAGGCGGUUACUCAAGUCAGAGGUGAAAGCCCGGGGCUCAACCCCGGAACUGCCUUUGAAACUAGGUAACUAGAAUCUUGGAGAGGUCAGUGGAAUUCCGAGUGUAGAGGUGAAAUUCGUAGAUAUUCGGAAGAACACCAGUGGCGAAGGCGACUGACUGGACAAGUAUUGACGCUGAGGUGCGAAAGCGUGGGGAGCAAACAGG
rnacentral:rRNA from 1 species